AUGUAAAACAAGCUUGUUCCUAAUUUAAAUAAAAAAUAAAUAGAAAAAAGAAUGGCCCCAUAGGCUCAUAUACUUCAAUGUUCAGUCACCAGGGACUGGUACUACUUGAAAGGAUUAGGAAGCAUGGCCUUGUUGGAGGAAGUAUGUCACUGAGGGUGGGCUCUCUCUUCCUGUUCUCUUCAGAUCCAGAACUCUCAGCUGCCAUACCUGCCUGUAUGAUGCCAUGCUCACCAUCAUGUUGAUAAUAGACUAAACCUCUGAAACUGUAAGCCAGGUUCAAUUAAAUGCUUUCUUUUAUGAGUUACCAUGGUCAUGAUGUCUCUUCACAACAAUAGAAUACUGACUAAGUUCUAGUAAUGUGUCCCAGGACCUGACCCAUGCUAAGACAGUGAGUCACAAGCCCAGGAUUCUUGAAGGAGGCAUUUUGUCAGCAAUGGAGCAGUAACUACUAGUCCAGUGUAGCUCAGUGGUAGAGCACUUGCCUUGCAUGCAUGAGGACCUGGGUUCAAUCUCUAGAACCAGAUAUUACCACUUACUUCUAAAAAAGGUAAGAUUAGAGCAUUGAUCUACACUGAGCCUCAGUCUCUUGCAUAAAUGAAGGUCACAUGUGUUCUCAAGAAAAUCCAGAUUCUCCUAUACCACAGAAUUUGAAUUUGUCACCUGUGUGCAGACAGGGGAGGAAGUAUGCACUGACCAGAAAAAUGAAUAAGAUGGCCAUGACUAUACACAUUUCUAGUGGAACAUGGCAAGUGACAGAUGAUCAUGGUGAUGACCUGAAUAUGUGUGUACAAAUACAAAGAAACACAUUAAAAUAAGCAAAUGAGCCGGGCGUUGGUGGCCCUCGCCAUUAAUCC